AUGCAAUAUGUUAGCAAAAUUUUAAAGUUGGGUCACUCAUUUAGACUUCAAAGCUUCACAGUGAGACAUUCAAACCUCCAUAUAAAGGAACAUGUUUGUCAAUUUUGUCGCUUCGGACAACGUAGCCCAUUUUUUUCAAUUGUGCCCCUCUCUAUUUUUACAUUUGCUUUGGUCUCGAGGGUUUGUGCAUCUUUUGAGUGCUGAAAGUGAUGUUUGGAAUGACUUUAUUUAUUUUUUAACCAAAUUACUAAAAUGACUUCCCAUACUUUUGAGGAAUUCCUUAUGUGUCCCACUGAAGAUGCUUGGUUUUGUCUUCUUGUGGGAGGUUUUUCAUGUUUGUGUGUGUUAUUUCCAACUCUAUGCUUGGCUAUUGCUUUAGCUGUAGAACUUGCAGUUUGUUCUUGUUCUGGGUUAUGCUCUUUGGUGUCCUAGGAGUGCUGAACUAAUGCCACAAUUCGCGGAAGCCACAACAGAGUUGUAGGAGCUGGGAGUGAUGUUGUGAUGGCCAAGGUUGAUGUUGAGAGGUAUCCGAAAGCUGCGUCCAAUCUUGGGAUCAAGGGGUAUCCCACUAUGCUUCUGUUUGUCAAUGGGAAUUCUCAAGCCUACAUUGGUGGAUUUACUUCGCAAGAAAUUGUGAUAUGGGCAAGCAAGAAAAUGGGUGAAUCUGUCAUUUGAGUUAAUUCAGAUAUUCGGGCGAAAGUGUUUCUUAAGAAACAUUUGAUGAUUGUUGUUGGGCGGUUUGAAAAUUUUGAAGGAUCUGAUUAUGAAGAAUUUAUGAAAGCAGUGACUUCUCACAAUGAAAAUACGAUUUGUUGAAACUAGUGUGUUGGUGUUGCCAAUGUUCUCUUCCCAAAUAUGAAACUUAGUUAUCCUUUUGUUGGUCUUCUUAAAAGUGAGCCUGAUAGAUAUACAACAUUAGGCAAGUACAUUUGUUUUUUGUUACACAACCAUCCUGGAGCUGCAUUUUAUCUUCUUUCUCGCUUAUUUUCCAUGUUCUAUGUGAUAGUAUCUGUUGUUUGAAGUUUGGUCAAUUCAUUAUAUCCUAUUUAGUUUUCUAUUUUAAAAGCUAUCCAAUUCACAGGACUGUAAGGUUUCUCCAAGAGA